UACGUAGGGGGCUAGCGUUGUCCGGAAUCAUUGGGCGUAAAGCGCACGUAGGCGGCUUUGCAAGUUAGAGGUGAAAGCCCGGGGCUCAACUCCGGAAUUGCCUUUAAAACUGCAUCGCUAGAAUUGUGGAGAGGUAAGUGGAAUUCCGAGUGUAGAGGUGAAAUUCGUAGAUAUUCGGAAGAACACCAGUGGCGAAGGCGACUUACUGGACACAUAUUGACGCUGAGGUGCGAAAGCGUGGGGAGCAAACAGG
rnacentral:rRNA from 1 species